GACGAACGCUGGCGGCGUGCCUAAUACAUGCAAGUAGAACGCAGUUGCGAACGGGUGAGUAACGCGUAGGUAACUGCCUGGUAGCGGGGGAUAACUCUUGGAAACGAUAGCUAAUACCGCAUACUACCAGAUGGACCUGCGUUGUAUUAGCUAGUUGGUGGGGUAACGGCUCACCAAGGCAACGAUACAUAGCCGACCUGGGAGGGUUAUCGGCCCACACGGGAAUGAGACAAGGCCCAGGCUUCCACCGGAGGCAGCAGGAGGGGAUUUUCGGACAUGGACGGAAGUCUGAACGAGGAAAGCCGCGUGAGUGAAGAAGGGUUUCGGAUUGUAAAGCCUUGUUGUAAGAGAAGCGGUAUCUUACCAGAAAGGGACGGCUAACUACGUGCCAGCAGCCGCGGUAAUAC
rnacentral:rRNA from 1 species